GACGAACGCUGGCGGCGUGCUUAACACAUGCAAGUCGAACGGAAAGGCCCUGCUUUUGUGGGGUGCUCGAGUGGCGAACGGGUGAGUAACACGUGAGUAACCUGCCCUUGACUUUGGGAUAACUUCAGGAAACUGGGGCUAAUACCGGAUAGGAGCUCCUGCUGCACGGUGGGGGUUGGAAAGUUUCGGCGGUUGGGGAUGGACUCGCGGCUUAUCAGCUUGUUGGUGGGGUAGUGGCUUACCAAGGCUUUGACGGGUAGCCGGCCUGAGAGGGUGACCGGCCACAUUGGGACUGAGAUACGGCCCAGACUCCUACGGGAGGCAGCAGUGGGGAAUAUUGCACAAUGGGCGGAAGCCUGAUGCAGCAACGCUGCGUGCGGGAUGACGGCCUUCGGGUUGUAAACCGCUUUCGCCUGUGACGAAGCGUGAGUGACGGUAAUGGGUAAAGAAGCACCGGCUAACUACGUG
rnacentral:rRNA from 1 species